rnacentral:rRNA from 1 species
GAUGAACGCUGGCGGCGUGCCUAAUACAUGCAAGUCGAGCGAACAGACGAGGCUCUUGCUUCUCUGACGCUAGCGGCGGACGGGUGAGUCACACGUGGAUAACCUACCUAUAAGACUGGGAUACCUUCGGGAAAGCUGAUCUCACAUCGGCUCAUAUAUUGAACCGCAUGGUUCAUUAGUCAUAGCCCUAUUUGCUGUGCCUUAUAGAUGGUACCUCGUCGGAUUAGUUAGUUGGUAAGGUAACGGCCUACCAAGGCAACGAUGCGUAGCCGACCUGAGAGGGUGAUCGGCCACACUGGAACUGAGACACGGUCCAGACUCCUACGGGAGGCAGCAGUAGGGAAUCUUCGGCAAUGGGCGAAAGCCUGAUGGAGCCACGCCGCGUGAGUGAUGAAGGUCUUCGGAUCGUAAAGCUCUGUUAGUAGGGAAGAACAAAUGUGAAAGUAACUAUGCACGUCUUGACGGUACCUAAAGAGAAAGCCACGGCUAACUACGUG